AUUUCAAUCAAAUUGAAAGCGAUAUUGUGGUUGCCAAACAAUAUGUUGAUUU
rnacentral:lncRNA from 1 species